CCUACGGGUGGCAGCAGUCGAGAAUCAUUCACAAUGGGGGAAACCCUGAUGGUGCGACGCCGCGUGGGGGAAUGAAGGUCUUCGGAUUGUAAACCCCUGUCAUGUGGGAGCAAAUUAAAAAGAUAGUACCACAAGAGGAAGAGACGGCUAACUCUGUGCCAGCAGCCGCGGUAAUACAGAGGUCUCAAGCGUUGUUCGGAAUCACUGGGCGUAAGGCGUGCGUAGGCUGUUUCGUAAGUCGUGUGUGAAAGGCGCGGGCUCAACCCGCGGACGGCACAUGAUACUGCGAGACUAGAGUAAUGGAGGGGGAACCGGACUUCUCGGUGUAGCAGUGAAAUGCGUAGAUAUCGAGAGGAACACUCGUGGCGAAGGCGGGUUCCUGGACAUUAACUGACGCUGAGGCACGAAGGCCAGGGGAGCGAAAGGGAUUAGAUACCCGGGUAGUC
rnacentral:rRNA from 1 species